rnacentral:rRNA from 1 species
AUUGAACGCUGGCGGCAUGCUUUACACAUGCAAGUCGAACGGCAGCACGGACUUCGGUCUGGUGGCGAGUGGCGAACGGGUGGGUAAUGUAUCGGAACGUGCCCAGUCGUGGGGGAUAACGUAGUGAAAAUUACGCUAAUACCGCAUACGAUCUAUGGAUGAAAGCGGGGGAUCGCAAGACCCCGUCCGAGUGGAGUGGCCGAUAUCAGAUUCGGUAGUUGGUGGGGUAAAGGUCCACCAAGCCAACGAUCUGUAGCUGGUCUGAGAGGACGACCAGCCACACUGGAACUGAGACACGGUCCAGACUCCUACGGGAGGCAGCAGUGGGGGAUUUUGGACAAUGGGCGAAAGCCUGAUCCAGCCAUUCCGCGUGCGGGAUGAAGGCCCUCGUGUUGUAAACUGCUUUUGUACAGAACGAAAAGGUUUCUACUAAUACUAGGAGCUCAUGACGGUACUGUAAGAAUAAGCACCGGCUAACUACGUGCCAGCAGCCGCCGUAA